GUAUCCAGGGCACAAACACCUCUGUCUGUGAUUCACAUGGGCCGAGUUUCAGACCGCACACACACAUUACAUAAUGCAUUACUACCACCCGAACGAGAAACCGAUACGGGACCCCUGUUGAGUUCUGCCCCCGUCUGAUGCAGUAAUCUGACUCCUGGAACACCUUAUGAUGUGCAUUUGUCUCUUCGUGACUUACUGUACUUCCAUUUCAGCACUCUGAUCGUUGAUUCUCUGCGUCAAUCGUCCGUUUCCAUUCUUUAAUCGUAUCCCGUUUACUUGGCCGUUUGCAAAGAGUGUUGCGAGUGCAAGCAGGAAGUUACAGACGCUCUGCAGCAGCACCAGAACGUAGAAGGCAUCAGGUCGACAUUGCCUUUUCCUUUUAAUAUCUCCAUGCACAGCUGGCCUGCGUGGGGAAGUCUCCCGCUCUCUGGGGAAAUGCGUCAGCGGCAGUUUAUCUUGUCUUUGUUCUCAGACAGUACAUUAUUAACUGGGUCUUUUUCAUUUGCAGUUGCAACAUCAGCCGUCUACAAGUGCGACUGAGCUGCCCAGGGGAUUCCCCUGGAUUAAACCUCCCACACACUGCUCGCUGCCAUGGGAAAAUUGUAGCGUAAGAUGUUACUGCAGCGAUGGCCCUCGAUCGGAUGGGAGCAGCGUCCCUUCUCCUCCUCCUCCUGCUUCAGAUGCGCCAUACCGUUUCAUCCGCAGCGUUGCCGGAGCAACCGUACCCGGACGUGUGGCUGACAGGAUUCGAGCCGAUUGUGAUUGACGGGCAGCCGGUGGAGCCCGCCUGUAAGAUCAUCCCUAUCGGCGAAACAACCCCCGCGCCCCCCACUGCGCCCCC